AAGUGAUACCGGGCCCCUCUGACGGUUGCCAGCCGCCAUGUCGGAUCACUGU
rfam:Pseudomonas sp. TRMO17WK12:I11 isolate Yellow genome assembly, chromosome: 1